rnacentral:rRNA from 1 species
UACGAAGGGGGCUAGCGUUGCUCGGAAUUACUGGGCGUAAAGCGCGCGCAGGCGGUCUUCCAAGUCAGUGGUGAAAGCCUGGAGCUCAACUCCAGAACUGCCAUUGAAACUGUUAGACUUGAGUACGAGAGAGGUGAGUGGAAUUCCCAGUGUAGAGGUGAAAUUCGUAGAUAUUGGGAAGAACACCAGUGGCGAAGGCGGCUCACUGGCUCGUAACUGACGCUCAGGCGCGACAGCGUGGGGAUCAAACAGG